GUCUCCUGUUAACAGGACGUGUCUGACGUAACUGCUACGCUUACCCAGACGGCCUCUCUCUUGGUCUUCGGCGGGUACGUGUCUUCCGGCCAGCUCUCUUCCGCUUCUGCUGUCUUGAUGACGCACAGUGCUGGCGCAAGUCGUCUUGCGCCAGGCGACUGGGUCUGAGGAGGCAGGAGUUAUUCAUUCCCUUAAGCUUUCAGGCCGGGGGGAGAAUCUUUCAGGUGGUAGCUGCAAGAACUCUUAGUAUGUUGACCUCACCUCUGCCUUCCACAUACCACUACCAGUGAGGAAUUAGGAAUGCAUGAGAAGAGUGUCCAAGAAGAGUGUCCUCAUUCAUGCAAGGCUUAAGAGAGAAUGCAGGUCAACAUCACCAUGUCAAUCAGAGGUGCAGAUGCUGAGAGCACUUUCUAGUCAAGUCCUGCAUGUUCAUUUCUGUCUCAAGUCAGCUUCUCUGAGAAUCCAAUUUAUAAAAAUAUAUUUGUGAAUGUAUAAGUAAAGUGACUUGGAUUUUGUCUACGUACAAGGACUUCUAUGCCUGCAUAAAACAGCGUAGUUUGGAACCAGCAGCAGCAGCAGCUCCCCAGACCUACUGAAUCAGAAUCUACAUUUUGAUAAGAG
rnacentral:lncRNA from 1 species